rnacentral:tRNA from 2 species
GCGCGCGUGGCGGAAUUGGUAGACGCGCUGGAUUUAGGUUCCAGUGUCGCAAGACGUGGGGGUUCAAGUCCCUCCGCGCGCACCA